GACGAACGCUGGCGGCGUGCCUAAUACAUGCAAGUCGAACGCUGAAGGAGGAGCUUGCUUCUCUGGAUGAGUUGCGAACGGGUGAGUAACGCGUAGGUAACCUGCCUGGUAGCGGGGGAUAACUAUUGGAAACGAUAGCUAAUACCGCAUAAGAGUAGAUGUCGCAUGACAUUUGCUUAAAAGGUGCAAUUGCAUCACUACCAGAUGGACCUGCGUUGUAUUAGCUAGUUGGUGAGGUAACGGCUCACCAAGGCAACGAUACAUAGCCGACCUGAGAGGGUGAUCGGCCACACUGGGACUGAGACACGGCCCAGACUCCUACGGGAGGCAGCAGUAGGGAAUCUUCGGCAAUGGACGGAAGUCUGACCGAGCAACGCCGCGUGAGUGAAGAAGGUUGUCGGAUCGUAAAGCUCUGUUGUAAGAGAAGAACGAGGGUGAGAGUGGAAAGUUCACACUGUGACGGUAUCUUACCAGAAAGGGACGGCUAACUACGUG
rnacentral:rRNA from 1 species